GACGAACGCUGGCGGCGUGCUUAACACAUGCAAGUCGAGCGAGCUGAUUCCCUUCGGGGAUGAAGCUAGCGGCGGACGGGUGAGUAACACGUGGGCAACCUGCCUUAUAGAGGGGGAUAGCCUUCCGAAAGGAAGAUUAAUACCGCAUAACAUCAUAUUACCGCAUGGUAGACUGAUCAAAGGAGCAAUCCGCUAUAAGAUGGGCCCGCGUCGCAUUAGCUAGUUGGUGAGGUAACGGCUCACCAAGGCGACGAUGCGUAGCCGACCUGAGAGGGUGAUCGGCCACAUUGGGACUGAGACACGGCCCAGACUCCUACGGGAGGCAGCAGUGGGGAAUAUUGCACAAUGGGGGAAACCCUGAUGCAGCAACGCCGCGUGAGUGAUGAAGGCCUUCGGGUUGUAAAGCUCUUUGAUCAGGGACGAUAAUGACGGUACCUGAAGAACAAGCCACGGCUAACUACGUGCCAGCCGCCGCCGUAACAC
rnacentral:rRNA from 1 species